GGAGGGAUGGCUGAGUCCGGUUUAAGGCGCUCGACUCGAAAUCGAGUGUAGGGAAANNUUCGAAUCCCACUCCCUCCGCCA
rnacentral:tRNA from 1 species